GACUCAGACAGGGACAGGUUUGUACUACAGACAGGGACAGGUUGGUACUACAGACUCAGACAGGGACAGGUUUGUAUUACAGACUCAGACAGGGACAGGUUGGUACUACAGACAGGGACAGGUUGGUACUACAGACUUAGACAGGGACAGGUUGGUACUACAGACUCAGACAGGGACAGGUUGGUAUUACAGACUCAGACAGGGACAGGUUGGUACUGCAGACUCAGACAGGGACAGGUUGGUACUACAGACUCAGACAGGGACAGGUUGGUACUGCAGACUCAGACAGGGACAGGUUGGUACUACAGACAGGGACAGGUUGGUACUACAGACUCAGACAGGGACAGGUUGGUACUACAGACUCAGACAGGGACAGGUUGGUACUGCAGACUCAGACAGGGACAGGUUGGUACUACAGACAGGGACAGGUUGGUACUACAGACUUAGACAGGGACAGGUUGGUACUACAGACUCAGACAGGGACAGGUUGGUAUUACAGACUCAGACAGGGACAGGUUGGUAUUACAGACUCAGACAGGGACAGGUUGGUACUGCAGACAGGGACAGGUUGGUAUUACAGACUCAGACAGGGACAGGUUGGUACUACAGACUCAGACAGGGACAGGUUGGUACUGCAGACAGGGACAGGUUGGUAUUACAGACUCAGACAGGGACAGGUUGGUAUUACAGACUCAGACAGGGACAGGUUGGUACUACAGAAUCAGACAGGGACAGGUUGGUACUACAGACUCAGACAGGGACAGGUUGGUACUACAGAAUCAGACAGGGACAGGUUGGUACUACAGACUCACACAGGGACAGGUUGGUACUACAGACAGGGACAGGUUGAAAAUGUCAGUGAAGACACCUGCCAGAUGGUCAACGUGCUCUCGGUUCGCGUCCUGGUCAUCCGUCUGGUUCUGUGGCCUUAUGAACGUUGACGGUCCUCACAUCGGCUACGG